UACGUAGGGUGCGAGCGUUGUCCGGAAUUAUUGGGCGUAAAGGGCUCGUAGGCGGUCUGUCACGUCAGGAGUGAAAACUCGGGGCUCAACCCCCGAGCCUGCUUCUGAUACGGGCAGACUGGAGGUAUGCAGGGGAGAACGGAAUUCCUGGUGUAGCGGUGAAAUGCGCAGAUAUCAGGAGGAACGACCGGUGGCGAAGGCGGUUCUCUGGGCAUUACCUGACGCUGAGGAGCGAAAGUGUGGGGAGCGAACAGG
rnacentral:rRNA from 1 species